rnacentral:tRNA from 1 species
GCGCCUAUAGUUUAACGGUAAAACUCGGAUCUUAUACAUCCGUAUCCAUGGUUCAACUCCAUGUGGGCGCACCA